GAUGAACGCUAGCGGGAGGCCUAACACAUGCAAGCCGAGCGGGAUUUGUUGGUUAGCUUGCUAACUAACAAUGAGAGCGGCGUACGGGUGCGUAGCACGUGUGCAACCUGCCUUUAUCUGGGGGAUAGCCUUUCGAAAGGAAGAUUAAUACCCCAUAACAUAUUGAUUGGCAUCAGUUAAUAUUGAAAGCUCCGGCGGAUAGAGAUGGGCACGCGUAAGAUUAGCUAGUUGGUGAGGUAACGGCUCACCAAGGCUGCGAUCUUUAGGGGGCCUGAGAGGGGGAUCCCCCACACUGGUACUGAGACACGGACCAGACUCCUACGGGAGGCAGCAGUGAGGAAUAUUGGACAAUGGGUGAGAGCCUGAUCCAGCCAUCCCGCGUGAAGGACUAAGGACCUAUGGUUUGUAAACUUCUUUUAUACAGGGAUAAACCUACUCUCGUGAGGGUAGCUGAAGGUACUGUAUGAAUAAGCACCGGCUAACUCCGUG
rnacentral:rRNA from 1 species